rnacentral:rRNA from 1 species
CACGGGGGGAGCAAGCGUUGUUCGGAAUCACUGGGCGUAAAGGGCGUGUAGGCGGUCAAGUAAGUGGAACGUGAAAUCCCUCGGCUUACCCGAGGACCUGCGUCCCAAACUGCUUGGCUUGAGUAUGGGAGAGGAUGAGGGAAUUCCUGGUGUAGCGGUGGAAUGCGCAGAUAUCAGGAGGAACACCAAUAGCGAAGGCAGCUCGCUGGGACGUGACUGACGCUGAGACGCGAAAGCGUGGGGAGCAAACAGG